rnacentral:snRNA from 1 species
GGGUUCUCACUUUAGCCACACAUAUACUAAAACUGGGAUGAUACAGAUAAGAUUAGCAUAGCCCUUGGACAAGGAUGACAAAUAAAUUCUUGAAGCACUCCAUUAAAAA